AGUAGAAUGGCUGAGAGAUAGGUGAAGGAUUGUAAAUCUUUUUAUGAGUUAUAUAACUUUUCUACUA
rnacentral:tRNA from 1 species